rnacentral:rRNA from 1 species
UACGUAGGGGGCAAGCGUUGUCCGGAAUCAUUGGGCGUAAAGAGCGUGUAGGCGGUCCGGUAAGUCAGCUGUGAAAGUCAAGGGCUCAACCCUUGAAAGCCGGUUGAUACUGUCGGGCUAGAGUCCGGAAGAGGCGAGUGGAAUUCCCGGUGUAGCGGUGAAAUGCGCAGAUAUCGGGAGGAACACCUAUGGCGAAGGCAGCUCGCUGGGACGUUACUGACGCUGAGACGCGAAAGCGUGGGGAGCAAACAGG